UCUCCAUGACGGCAGCUUCCGCGCGAUGGUCGCAGUCUAUCGCAGUCGCAUCCUGUGUUUUUUCUAAUUUACGUCAAUAUUCACCUGGUAUCCAAUGUCUCAUGCUGCCCGGUGACGAGACGGAGAGCUUUUGAUGCCACGAAGCAAUCGGACCGCCGGAGUGGAAAGACGAUGUGGUGCCAUCGACUGCUCGUGUUUUUAGCGGACAUUUGCAUGAUGGAAUUUACGAAGGGUACGCUGAAUCUCUUCAACGUACUGGAUAACGAGCUCAGUGUCGUCUGAAUCAAGGUGUAGCAACGUGUCCACACCGGAGAAAGAACAUCCACCUAAACGGCGCAAAGGUGUGUCUUCCUCAGCGGAGCCUGAAACCCCUUAGGUGAGACAGCAUGAUCAUUGUAAUCCACUAUUCAGAGCAGACAAAUGCUGUGCACUCUCUUUCCAGAUUCCUCUUUAAUGCAGUGUCUUGCCUACCAUUCGGGCUCUGUAUAUUGUUCACAAGUUUUUUUUUUUACCUUUAUUGUCAUUUGAUUUACAGUUUGCUUUGUCAUGUACACAAAUAUGAUAUUGAGGGGGACAUUUUCUUGUUUACACCUCUUAUCUUAUAAUCAUUGCUCAGUUAGAUUACAUCAUUUGCAUUCACCGGAACUGGAGUUGUAUACUGUGUUAUUUUCUUGUCUCAAAUCAGGGCAGCCCAUGUAUAUGGCAGCUGAAGUCUUUCACCAGGGUAACAUGCCAGGACAACUCCAGCAAGUGCUCUGCAGGUCACCUCUAAAUUAAAGGAACCUACCUUUGA